rnacentral:rRNA from 1 species
UACGUAGGGUGCAAGCGUUGUCCGGAAUUAUUGGGCGUAAAGAGCUCGUAGGCGGUUUGUCGCGUCUGCUGUGAAAACUCGGGGCUUAACCCCGGGCCUGCAGUGGGUACGGGCAGACUAGAGUGCGGUAGAGGAGUGUGGAAUUCCUGGUGUAGCGGUGAAAUGCGCAGAGAUCAGGAGGAACACCAGCGGCGAAGGCGGCGCUCUGGGCCGGUACUGACACUGAGGAGCGAAUGCGUGGGUAGCAAACAGG